AUUUUUAUUUUAAAGUCCACAAUUUUGUUUGCGACUAUUAGUAGAACAUUUGCUACGGUUAACAGUGUGGGUUUUUUGUGGUGAAAUAAAUAUGAAGUUUGUUUUACACUAUAUGUGAAAAUAGUCACGAAUAUCGUUUGGAAAGAUGUCCACGAAUAGCUGCAUUUUUAAUAGAUAAGAGUUCAUAGUUAUGAAGUUUUUGUGGUUAUUCGAAACUAAUAUUGAAAUGGACAGAACUUAGGUUCACCCCCUAGGGUGAACCUUUAAAUUCACCCAUCUUUUAACACCAAUUAAAUUGAUACAUAGAUUAUUAAUUAAAAAACAAUAAAUUAAAUAAAAAAUAGCUACAAAAAAAUAAAAACGCUAAUUUUAACGACACUAAUGCUUCCAGCUAAACUCUAAACCCUAAAUCUUAAAUUCUAAACCAUAUACCCUAAAUUUUAAACUCAAAUCCAAACCUCUAAACCCAAACUCUAUACCCUAAACCCUAAUCCUAGACCCUAAACCCAAAUUAUAUACGUUAAACCCAAAAACUAGAUUAUAAACCUAAAUUCUAUACCCUAAACCCAAAUCCUAGACCUUAAAUCCAAACCGUAAACCUUAAACCUAAACCAUAAACCCAAACCAUAUACUUUAAAUUGUAAACCCAAACUCUAGACACUAAACCCAAAUACUAUACCCUAAACCCAAAUCUUAAACCCUAAACUCAAACCGUAAACCCAA
rnacentral:lncRNA from 1 species